rnacentral:rRNA from 1 species
CCUACGGGUGACAGCAGUCGAGAAUCAUUCACAAUGGGGGAAACCCUGAUGGUGCGACGCCGCGUGGGGGAAUGAAGGUCUUCGGAUUGUAAACCCCUGUCAUGUGGGAGCAAAUUAAAAAGAUAGUACCACACGAGGAAGAGACGGCUAACUCUGUGCCAGCAGCCGCGGUAAUACAGAGGUCUCAAGCGUUGUUCGGAAUCACUGGGCGUAAAGCGUGCGUAGGCUGUUUCGUAAGUCGUGUGUGAAAGGCGCGGGCUCAACCCGCGGACGGCACAUGAUACUGCGAGACUAGAGUAAUGGAGGGGGAACCGGAAUUCUCGGUGUAGCAGUGAAAUGCGUAGAUAUCGAGAGGAACACUCGUGGCGAAGGCGGGUUCCUGGACAUUAACUGACGCUGAGGCACGAAGGCCAGGGGAGCGAAAGGGAUUAGAUACCCUUGUAGUC